rnacentral:misc_RNA from 1 species
GAUGAAGAACGUAGCAAAAUGCGAUACGUAAUGUGAAUUGCAGAAUUCAGUGAAUCAUCGAAUCUUUGAACGCACAUUGCGCCCGCCAGCAUUCUGGCGGGCAUGCCUGUUCGAGCGUCAUUUCAACCCUCAAGCUCUGCUUGGUGUUGGGGCCCUACGUCUGACGUAGGCCCUCAAAGACAGUGGCGGACCCUCUCGGAGCCUCCUUUGCGUAGUAACUAACGUCUCGCACUGGGAUUCGGAGGGACUCUUGCCGUAAAACCCCCAAUUUUUACAGGUUGACCUCGGAUCAGGUAGGAAUACCCGCUGAACUUAAGCAUAUCAAUAAGCGGAGGA